rnacentral:rRNA from 1 species
AUUGAAAGCUGGCGGCAUGCCUUACACAUGCAAGUCGAACGGUAACAGGUUAAGCUGACGAGUGGCGAACGGGUGAGUAAUGUAUCGGAACGUGCCCAGUCGUGGGGGAUAACUGCUCGAAAGAGCAGCUAAUACCGCAUACGACCUGAGGGUGAAAGCGGGGGAUCGCAAGACCUCGCGCGAUUGGAGCGGCCGAUAUCAGAUUAGGUAGUUGGUGAGGUAAAGGCUCACCAAGCCGACGAUCUGUAGCUGGUCUGAGAGGACGACCAGCCACACUGGGACUGAGACACGGCCCAGACUCCUACGGGAGGCAGCAGUGGGGAAUUUUGGACAAUGGGCGCAAGCCUGAUCCAGCCAUGCCGCGUGCGGGAAGAAGGCCUUCGGGUUGUAAACCGCUUUUGUCAGGGAAGAAAAGGUUCUGGCUAAUACCUGGGACUCAUGACGGUACCUAACCAGAAAGCCACGGCUAACUACGUGCCAGCCGCCGCCGUAACAC